GACGAACGCUGGCGGCAUGCCUAACACAUGCAAGUCGAACGGGGCAGCAAUGCCUAGUGGCGGACGGGUGAGGAAUACGUAGGAAUCUGCCCUUAAGUGGGGGAUAACCAGGGGAAACCCUGACUAAUACCGCAUGAUCUCUUCGGAGCAAAGAGGGGGACCGCAAGGCCUCUCGCUUCUGGAUGAGCCUACGUCUGAUUAGCUAGUUGGUAGGGUAAAGGCCUACCAAGGCGACGAUCAGUAACUGGUCUGAGAGGAUGAUCAGUCACACCGGAACUGAGACACGGUCCGGACUCCUACGGGAGGCAGCAGUGGGGAAUAUUGGACAAUGGGCGCAAGCCUGAUCCAGCAAUGCCGCGUGUGUGAAGAAGGCCUUCGGGUUGUAAAGCACUUUAGCCUGGAAAGAAAAAACUUUGGUUAACACCCAAAGUCUUGACGGUACCAGGAGAAUAAGCACCGGCUAACUCUGUGCCAGCCGCCGCCGUAACAC
rnacentral:rRNA from 1 species